CGGUUGAUCCUGCCGGAGGUUACUGCUAUCGAGGUUCGACUAAGCCAUGCGAGUCGAAUGUAGCAAUACAUGGCGUACUGCUCAGUAACACGUGGACAACCUACCCUUGGGACGGGGAUAAACCCGGGAAACUGGGUAUAAUACCCGAUAGAUCUCGACUGCUGGAAUGCAUCGAGUUCGAAAGCUCCGGCGCCCAAGGAUGGGUCUGCGGCCUAUCAGGUAGUGGUGGGUGUAGCGUACCUACUAGCCUACGACGGGUACGGGUUGUGAGAGCAAGAGCCCGGAGAUGGACUCUGAGACACGAAUCCAGGCCCUACGGGGUGCAGCAGGCGCGAAAACUUUACAAUGCUGGAAACAGCGAUAAGGGGACCUCGAGUGCCAGGUUACAAAUCUGGCUGUCGUGAUGCCUAAAAAGCAUUGCAUAGCAAGGGCCGGGCAAGACCGGUGCCAGCCGCCGCGGUAACACCGGCGGCUCGAGUGGUAACCGUUAUUAUUGGGUCUAAAGGGUCUGUAGCCGGCCGGAUAAGUCUCUUGGGAAAUCUGGCAGCUUAACUGUCAGGCUUUCAGGGGAUACUGUCUGGCUCGAGGCCGGGAGAGGUGAGAGGUACUUCAGGGGUAGGGGUGAAAUCUUGUAAUCCUUGAAGGACCACCAGUGGCGAAGGCGUCUCACCAGAACGGACCUGACGGCAAGGGACGAAAGCUAGGGGCACGAACCGGAUUAGAUACCCGGGUAGUCCUAGCCGUAAACGAUACUCGCUAGGUGUCGGCCACGGUGCGACCGUGGUCGGUGCCGUAGGGAAGCCGUGAAGCGAGCCACCUGGGAAGUACGGCCGCAAGGCUGAAACUUAAAGGAAUUGGCGGGGGAGCACCACAACGGGUGGAGCUUGCGGUUUAAUUGGAUUCACGCCGG
rnacentral:rRNA from 1 species